rnacentral:sRNA from 1 species
GGAAAGCUCAGGCAGCAGAAAUGAAAGCAGCAAAUGAAGCAGAAGGAAAAGUAGAAUCCGAGAAGGCAGAUCUCCCUUUUUGGGCCAGACCACCCUCCCG